CCCUUCCCCUCAGAAGGGCAACAAUACUUUCAUCUGAUCUAGUUUUUUAAUUUUUAAGAGUAAUUUCAGUAUCACUGUGUCUCUGUCUUGCACAGCUGUAAACUUCUUGAAAGAAGGGAAAUUUUCCCACCUGCAGCUCCCUAAGGGAUGUGACAAGUGUGCUCUCCCUGUCCAGGGCCAAGCUCCUCCAAAAGCUGUUGUGUUUAAGUGGGUGUGUUAUUUCUUCUUGGACCAAAUGAAUGCACACCCCACAUGGAAGCUCGUUUUACUAUUAGAUUUAUAGAGCGUCACUAGAUCUAUAAGCCCAAAUACUGCAGUUAAACAGCCUGUGAAAUUCCUGCGAGCAUAUGAGAGAACACAUGAGGACAAAAUGAAAGACUAUCCCUGUCAACAGAAAUCAUCCAGCAUACAAACAAUUCAUCUGAGAGUGUGUCACUUCACUAAAAAACGCCAGAAUACCCCGCAAUAAUCAUAUUGUCUGCUGCAAGGGAUCAGUGAUUUGACAGUUUUGAGCAGGGACAUUAAUAAGGAAAAGAAAGAGCCAGUAACUGAAUCAGGCUGGAAGGAAAAUCACUUGAUUUUUGAUGUGAAUCAGCAAUCCAAGAAGAAGAUGCUCCAGGGCAGAGCUGGCAGCAACCCUCUGCCUCCAGGAUGCAGCUCAACCCUCAGGGCUGUCUCUGCUGCAAUGUACAACAAAACACAGAGAUUUGAGAGUCCCUGGGCAGGCCUGAAUGCUCAGGGGUGAAAACAGUGAGGGUCCCAUUGCUAUAGUGCAGAGUGAGAUGCAAUCCCCCAGAUCCUUCUACCCCUGCUCAUCUGAUCCUCAUCCAAAAAAUCCAAAGCUCUUGAGCUCCCUCAACACCCCUGCUGCCCUGCUCUGUGCCCACAGCCAGCUUGCCCUCGGGAUGAAUCCGUGCUUUAUGAAGUAUUUUCAUGGAUUUAACAGAUGGGAGAGCUGAGAUGGGGGUGAAGUGUGUCAUUUGGGGCAGAAGUGGAAAGGGAGGUUUGUUGUCCCACUCCUCCUCCAUCAUGACCACCCUCUCCAUCUGUUGACACUUCAGCACACGAUGCCAAUUCCAGUGUGACUCCGAUUAGUCUGCAGAGUGCUGCAUGUUGAUGUUGUGGUUUGAUACUUGGAGAGCUCUGUGAAGAUAUUUAAUUAGACAAAAUUAAUUCCUGUGAGAGCAACCUUCUGGCAUAAUUUUGGAAACUGCUAGGAAGCUUCUUUGGUUCUGACACUUAUUAAAAAUUUGCAUUAGCCAUUUCCUAAUUUAUUUUUGAAAGGACAAUCAAACCACAUUGCUUCCCAGGUCAAACAGGAGCUGUGACCUGCCUGCCAGCAGCUCUAUGAGAACAUGAAGUGCCAGACCUCCUCACCAAAAGUCACUUCCCACAGCUUUUGUCACCCUGAAAUGUUUCCCUUCUGCCUGAGCGGUCAAGUCCUUUGGCCUCUUUCUUCCUCCCCCUUUUUGACACCUUCACAGUGAUUGUGGGGUUUGAGACACAGCAGGAAGACACAGAGACAGACACACAAGACAGACACAGUAGGAAGGAGAGCACCAGUGGUGACCUUGCUGGCCAGCUCUGCAAGGUGACAUCCCCAGUGGGGACUGGGAGGUGAAUGGGUGCCAUUCUCCCUCUCUGCCUUCUCCUGCAGUCACACUGGGAUACCAGGAUUUCUUGUGGGAGCAUCUGCUGCUAAUUCUGCAAACCUCCUACACAUAAGGGCCCAGAAGGGCAAAGUCUUAAUACGAUUGAACUUCAGGAGCUGCAGAGGUCUGUGGAUGCACCUGGUUUGGAGUGAGGAAGGAAAUGGGACAGGCUGGACACACAGCCUGUUCAGUACAGUACUGUGCAAAACACACUUUAACCUGGAGCAAUCCCUGUAAGCCUCUUCCCUGCCACACUGCACCCAUGAGGCUCUGGCUGCUUGGGCCCAGUGACAUCGUGAAGAGCCCUUUGGGGUUGGCAGAAAGGUUGUGUCAAACCAUAUCCUCUCCCAGAGACCGUUCCUUGCAUACCCAUUUUCUGUCCCAGCUUCCAGUCCCUCCUGUUCUCCCUCCAGGCUUCCAUAUGGGUUUCUCAGCAUCUUGUCCAUCAAUGUCUGUGCAAAAUAAAAUGUCAUUUUGA